UACGUAGGGUGCAAGCGUUAAUCGGAAUUACUGGGCGUAAAGCGUGCGCAGGCGGUUCCGCAAGUCAGAUGUGAAAUCCCCGGGCUUAACCUGGGAACUGCAUUUGAAACUAUGGGGCUAGAGUGUGUCAGAGGGGGGUAGAAUUCCACGUGUAGCAGUGAAAUGCGUAGAGAUGUGGAGGAAUACCGAUGGCGAAGGCAGCCCCCUGGGAUGACACUGACGCUCACGCACGAAAGCGUGGGGAGCAAACAGG
rnacentral:rRNA from 1 species